UCUUCUAAAGUAUAAACGUUUAUGCUGUACAUUGCAUACAGCAUAAUUUGCCCAAUGUGUGCUUGGCACUAUAGCUGUUAAUAUACCAAUUUGUACGGUAGUCAUUUCACAAAGGGGCUUCGUUAGGCAAAGGCACGAUUCGAGAAAUUGAAAUCGUUUAUCCGGUUUUGGAUCUUUGUCAGACAUAGUUGUAAUGAUAUGAUAUCAGAGAUAAAUUGCAUUUAACGAUUAUCUUUGGGAACGUUUAUUCAAAAAAACCAAUAUGUAUUUCGGCUACAACAUCUCGCUCAUAUUCUAUAAUGUGCAAUAGUUUGAACAUAUUUUGAUGACAACGGAAAAACUAAUUCACAUUUUUUUACAAUUGACGGCUCAGACGGUAUUGGUUCUUCUUUUUAAACGUUACAAAUCGAAUUAAAUAAGUAAUUCGAUAAACAAUUAAGUACCUGCUAAACUAAUGGCGCCCAUCUACCACCGGGGAAGAGUAGGAAAUUUCACGCGGUUUUUAAUGGAACGUAUGCGACAAUUUUGGCCGUCGUAUGAAAAAUACAUAUUAUAUUUCGAUAACUUUAAAAGAGCAAUAAACGUUGAUAUUCUUCCAAAACUGUUGUGCGAUAGAAGUGGAUAACUGGCGGCAAUCUAUACUGCAUUCAAAAAAAAAUGUUUGACGAAUCGGCAAGAUCAAAAAUCAAAAUCGAACACUUAAUUGAAUAUAGUUAUCCUGAAUUCGAGAAUAUUACAAGGGAAAUCCGAUAGAUGACUAUAACAUACCAUAUGCCGUGGUCAUUUUCCAGUAUAUUUGUGUGGUGAAAAUGCAUCUCUAGAGCCUCCAGACUUAAUAAAUUGUACAUUCAUCUAUACAAUGCAAACGACAAUAGCAGUAGAAGAAUGUAAUGUGGACAUCACUGGCUCUCGAUAAUAUCAGUGGCGGCUAGAAAUUAUCUGGUCGCUGGCAGUAGCAGUACGCCCAUUAAGAGGAGCAAUAGAGGACGUUGACAUCACACCAGUCGGUACUCAACCAUCAGCUGGUUUAACGUAGCCACGUUUAACAGUCCGGUGACUGUGUACUCAGGGACUAUGGUGAGGCUUAGGAGAGUCACCAUCGAGGGGGUCGAAAUGCCCCACUAACUUAAUAUUGUUAUAUUUGUGAGUCAAGUACUGAUGGAGUCGACAGACUAAUUGUCAAUUCGUUUAACCUCAGCUGGGACGUCGCAGGCAUUAAUAUCGACAUCCACGUCAUGAAAGAACACUUGACGACGGGCAUGUCUGCAUAGGUAUCUGCGGAAAAGAAAGACUGGACAACGAAUCUGACAGACCGAGUAACCCUUGGGUUGUUGUUGGAGGAUACAAAAGAUUCUCAAACACCAGCUACGGGGCAGACAAUGUCAAAAUUAUCAGUCUAGAUAAGAUAGAAAUUUAUGUACAGGAUGAUUUAUAAAAUAUUAUACAAUUUUUCUAAAAAUAAUUAAGUGUUGAGUUGUUUUCAAAUAUAAAAAGGAUUGAAGUAUUA